UACGUAGGGUGCGAGCGUUAAUCGGAAUUACUGGGCGUAAAGCGUGCGCAGGCGGCUUUGCAAGACAGAUGUGAAAUCCCCGGGCUCAACCUGGGAACUGCAUUUGUGACUGCAUUGCUGGAGUACGGCAGAGGGGGAUGGAAUUCCGCGUGUAGCAGUGAAAUGCGUAGAUAUGCGGAGGAACACCGAUGGCGAAGGCAAUCCCCUGGGCCUGUACUGACGCUCAUGCACGAAAGCGUGGGGAGCAAACAGG
rnacentral:rRNA from 1 species